ensembl:lncRNA
CCGGAGAGAAUUAGAGAAGGAGACAAAGAAAGACCAGAAAAAGAGAGCAUGAGAGACCUAAGUGACCAAAGGGAGACAUCGAGUAACCAUAGCGAUAGAGUGACAGAGAGACAUAGAAAGACCAGAGAGAGAGAGAGCGUGAGCGAAAGACAUAGAAAAAGAGGGAGAGAGAGGGACAUAGAGAGACCAUAGAGAGAGCAUGAGCGAGAGACAUAGAGAGAGAGGUAGAGAGAGACAUAGAGAGACCAUAGAGAGAGCGUGAGGGAGAGAGACACAGAGAGACCAUAGAGAGACUCAAGAGAGUGUGAUAGAGGGACAUAGAGUGACCAUAGAGAGAGCAUGAGAGUGAGACAUAGAGAGAGAGAAAGGUAGAGAGAGACAUAGAGAGACCAUAGAGAGAGAGGGGUUGACUUACUGGCACGUGUGAUGCCGCAGAAGGGACCGGCCAGGGCCAACAGGAUCAGCAGCUGAACUUUCAUGGUGGCGGAUAACCUCAAACACGAGUAAAGAAUAUUGAGAUGUUCUCCGUGCACGUCUUCUCCGGUCACCGGUGGCAGAGAGAGUUCCUCAGGAGGGCAAAGAGCAAGGCACCGGGUGUCAGCUUGUGCACACCAGUCAGCCUCUCCCCGUCUGGAGGAAGAGCGGAGGGUCAGAGAGGUUAAAAAAAAAAUAAACGCCGGAAAAAGAAUUCCAAAAGUUUUUUUGAGUUGAUUUUCUUUUGUCUGGAGGAGCGGAGGGCCGACAGAAGUGAGGAGGGCAGGAACAAAAGAAGGGUCUGGAGUCGGCGUGAGCUGGAGUUGGAGUGAGCUGAUGGUGGGUAUACUGGGAGAGUGAAGAGAGAUGAGCGAGAGACGCAGGGAGGGAGAAGGAGUGAGCGAGGGAGGUUUGAGGAUGUUACAGAGGCUCUGCUGGUGUAGAGGAAAUGGUGAGAGAGAAAGAGAGAGAGAGACUGUAAGUGGAGCAGCGAUGGAGGAGGGGUCCGGUAAACUGGGGUGGAUGUGUGUGUGCGUGUGUACGUGUG